rnacentral:rRNA from 1 species
GAGCGAGCGGAACUAACAGAUUUACUUCGGUAAUGACGUUAGGAAAGCGAGCGGCGGAUGGGUGAGUAACACGUGGGGAACCUGCCCCAUAGUCUGGGAUACCACUUGGAAACAGGUGCUAAUACCGGAUAAGAAAGCAGAUCGCAUGAUCAGCUUUUAAAAGGCGGCGUAAGCUGUCGCUAUGGGAUGGCCCCGCGGUGCAUUAGCUAGUUGGUAAGGUAAAGGCUUACCAAGGCGAUGAUGCAUAGCCGAGUUGAGAGACUGAUCGGCCACAUUGGGACUGAGACACGGCCCAAACUCCUACGGGAGGCAGCAGUAGGGAAUCUUCCACAAUGGACGCAAGUCUGAUGGAGCAACGCCGCGUGAGUGAAGAAGGUUUUCGGAUCGUAAAGCUCUGUUGUUGGUGAAGAAGGAUAGAGGUAGUAACUGGCCUUUAUUUGACGGUAAUCAACCAGAAAGUCACGGCUAACUACGUGCCAGCAGCCGCGGUAAUACGUAGGUGGCAAGCGUUGUCCGGAUUUAUUGGGCGUAAAGCGAGCGCAGGCGGAAGAAUAAGUCUGAUGUGAAAGCCCUCGGCUUAACCGAGGAACUGCAUCGGAAACUGUUUUUCUUGAGUGCAGAAGAGGAGAGUGGAACUCCAUGUGUAGCGGUGGAAUGCGUAGAUAUAUGGAAGACACCAGUGGCGAAGGCGGCUCUCUGGUCUGC